AUUGAACGCUGGCGGCAUGCCUUACACAUGCAAGUCGAGCGGCAGCGCGGGGGCAACCCUGGCGGCGAGCGGCGAACGGGUGAGUAAUGCAUCGGAACGUGUCCUCUUGUGGGGAUAACCAGUCGAAAGACUGGCUAAUACCGCAUGAGCUCGUAAAGAGGAAAGCGGGGGAUCCGUAAGGACCUCGCGCGAGAGGAGCGGCCGAUGCCCGAUUAGCUAGGGUGGGUAAAGCCUACCAAGGCGACGAUCGGUAGCUGGUCUGAGAGGACGACCAGCCACACUGGGACUGAGACACGGCCCAGGCUCCUACGGGAGGCAGCAGUGGGGAAUUUUGGACAAUGGGGGCAACCCUGAUCCAGCCAUGCCGCGUGUGUGAAGAAGGCCU
rnacentral:rRNA from 1 species